UAUAAAUAAAAUAUAUUAUUAUUAUUAUUAUUAUUAUUAUUAUUAUUAUUAUUAUUAUUAUUAUUAUUAUUAAUUAAAAUAAACUGUAUUUGUGUCCUCAGCAAGGUUUUUUGUUUUUUUUCCUGCAGUGUUUGUUGUUUGUAAUUGUUGUAAUUGUAAUUGUUUUUCAUUUUACACGGCAGAUUCACCAAUUCAAACCACUCAGAUUCAGAAUGAAGUUCUCAGAGUUGUGCGUGGAUCUGACGUGUCUUUGCGAUGUGACGUUCCUCUCCUGUCUAAUUCCUCCACUUUACACUGGGAGAAAGAUGGAGAACAAACACCCAACAGCACUCUGAUGUACAACACCUCUGCCUACAUCAUCUUACACACCGUUGAUGAACGCAGUGAAGGGAAAUAUUACUGUAGAUUGAUGCAAGAUGGAAGCGUACGAACUGUUAGGAUUCACACACUUAAUGUUACUCCAUAUUCAGAUGGAAAAAGUCAAAGUCAAACCAUUUCCAUUCAAAGCCCCAGUCAUAGCUCCAGUAAUACCAAUGUAUCACUGAUCUGCAAGUCUGCAACGGAGUCUCCUGAUGGUGUGUUGAGGAUUCAGUCAGUGGAUCUUACCUGUGAAGUUUCUGAAGUAAAUGAUUCAGUGACGCUGGUCUGGCUCAGGAUGGAGGGGAACAGAGGAGUGCUGGUCAAACAGCAAACUAUGACUGAGAAAAACACCAUGUUACGUCUCACAGUGAAUCUAUCCAACUCUAAAACAGACCCGCUGCACUGGCAGUGUGCAGUUUUUACUAAGAAUACACUCAGAGCUCUGGUCCCUAUAACAAUCAAUUGUACCUCAUCAAAUACAACUGCUCCAACAGAAAGCUCAGCUGUAACAAACGAAGUAAUCCAAAAAGUGUUUUGCUGUGUUUUGACUCUAUCUAUUGGGAUGUUGCUUGGAGCUCUAUUCAAUUACUGCUACAGGAAACGAAAGUCAGGAAAAGGAAGCAUGAAUAAAAGAGAGGAGACACCGGAUACAUCAGACAGUUUGACCUACACGACCAUUGUUUACAACCAAUUCAAUUCAAUUCAAUUCAAUCUAUAAUGAAAACCUGAGAAAGACACAAUUUCAUUUCAUAAUUGUUUUAUUUUUAUAAAUGAACCUCAAACCAAUAUCUCACAGAGAAAGUAUAAACAUUUUCUUUAUUAAAAAGCAGAUGGCGCUGUCUGGUCACAAAAGAUAUAAUCUGGGAAUGCAUUUCGAGAUUCUCAGACCUCACUGCAUUCAUUAAACCACCAGCACAAAUAUUAAUCCUACUGACUGAAACUGAAUAAUUGCAUCCUGUUAUUAAUGUUGUGUUAAUCACAUUUGUAAAAGCAUUAACUAUGCAGCCAAAUAUUAUCAUGAUUUUGCAUUUGUUAUAUUAUAGGUGCCUUCAUAUAUGUGCAUGCAUACUGUUGAAAUGGCCAUUUGAUGGCACUGUUUGAAAACAUUCUUGAAUAAUGAUAAUAAAUUGUAAGUACUAAAAACGAUAAUGCAGUUACAUCCUCUUCUCUCUCACUUUCUCUGUCUGUCACUUUCAUCCUCCUGGAAUCCACCCAGAACAUGCUGCUUCAUUGUACUUCAAUCUAAAACACAAAAGUGUGGAAAAAAAGUAGUUUGAAUAGGAUGUCUUUAUGGACAAGGGAUAAUGCUCCUAGCUAACUCAAGGUUGCUCUGCUUUGUAUUAACGUGUGUCUUUAUUUAAACAUGGUGGGGAGGAUUUAGGUCUGCUAAGUAUAACCACUGAGUGAUGAAGAAUCCAAAUGCACAUACAUGAUGUUAUACGGGGAGGAGAAAGGCAGAUGUUGACAGAAAGGGCUGCAUAUAAGGAAACAAAAUAACCACAACUUUGUCCCCGAAAUGUAGGCUUCAAAUAAUCCCAUUUUAUUAAAGUCCUGACCACAUCAUGCUGUAAAGACUUAUUACGAGGAGCAUCAUGAGUUUGGUCAAGAUGGGUAGACUCUUAUCUAAAGUCUUACUUUCAACUACUGACAAUCACAGCACCUUUCUAGUUAAGCAAAGCUUUUCUGCUCAACAUAAUCUCCUCAACUUUAAAUUAAUAUAUUCAAUAUCCUAAAUCACUUUACUCUAUCCAUCAUUCGAGACACUUCAGCUGUUUCUGAUCCCCCCUUGAUUUGAUCCAUGGUAAACUACACACCAUCACCUGUCCUAGCAAAAACAGACUCUUUCUUUAAUGCUGAGCAACAGCCAGAAAGUACACAAAUUAAGUGAAUUCCUCUGUGGUCCAACCAUCCUGUAAAUGCCCUGAAAUUAUAUAACCUGCUGUAUGUCAGAUUCACACAAUUUUACACAUAAUUCAUAAAGCAGCAC
rnacentral:lncRNA from 1 species